rnacentral:rRNA from 3 species
GCAGUCGAACGAACUCUGGUAUUGAUUGGUGCUUGCAUCAUGAUUUACAUUUGAGUGAGUGGCGAACUGGUGAGUAACACGUGGGAAACCUGCCCAGAAGCGGGGGAUAACACCUGGAAACAGAUGCUAAUACCGCAUAACAACUUGGACCGCAUGGUCCGAGUUUGAAAGAUGGCUUCGGCUAUCACUUUUGGAUGGUCCCGCGGCGUAUUAGCUAGAUGGUGGGGUAACGGCUCACCAUGGCAAUGAUACGUAGCCGACCUGAGAGGGUAAUCGGCCACAUUGGGACUGAGACACGGCCCAAACUCCUACGGGAGGCAGCAGUAGGGAAUCUUCCACAAUGGACGAAAGUCUGAUGGAGCAACGCCGCGUGAGUGAAGAAGGGUUUCGGCUCGUAAAACUCUGUUGUUAAAGAAGAACAUAUCUGAGAGUAACUGUUCAGGUAUUGACGGUAUUUAACCAGAAAGCCACGGCUAACUACGUGCCAGCAGCCGCGGUAAUACGUAGGUGGCAAGCGUUGUCCGGAUUUAUUGGGCGUAAAGCGAGCGCAGGCGGUUUUUUAAGUCUGAUGUGAAAGCCUUCGGCUCAACCGAAGAAGUGCAUCGGAAACUGGGAAACUUGAGUGCAGAAGAGGACAGUGGAACUCCAUGUGUAGCGGUGAAAUGCGUAGAUAUAUGGAAGAACACCAGUGGCGAAGGCGGCUGUCUGGUCUGUAACUGACGCUGAGGCUCGAAAGUAUGGGUAGCAAACAGGAUUAGAUACCCUGGUAGUCCAUACCGUAAACGAUGAAUGCUAAGUGUUGGAGGGUUUCCGCCCUUCAGUGCUGCAGCUAACGCAUUAAGCAUUCCGCCUGGGGAGUACGGCCGCAAGGCUGAAACUCAAAGGAAUUGACGGGGGCCCGCACAAGCGGUGGAGCAUGUGGUUUAAUUCGAAGCUACGCGAAGAACCUUACCAGGUCUUGACAUACUAUGCAAAUCUAAGAGAUUAGACGUUCCCUUCGGGGACAUGGAUACAGGUGGUGCAUGGUUGUCGUCAGCUCGUGUCGUGAGAUGUUGGGUUAAGUCCCGCAACGAGCGCAACCCUUAUUAUCAGUUGCCAGCAUUAAGUUGGGCACUCUGGUGAGACUGCCGGUGACAAACCGGAGGAAGGUGGGGAUGACGUCAAAUCAUCAUGCCCCUUAUGACCUGGGCUACACACGUGCUACAAUGGAUGGUACAACGAGUUGCGAACUCGCGAGAGUAAGCUAAUCUCUUAAAGCCAUUCUCAGUUCGGAUUGUAGGCUGCAACUCGCCUACAUGAAGUCGGAAUCGCUAGUAAUCGCGGAUCAGCAUGCCGCGGUGAAUACGUUCCCGGGCCUUGUACACACCGCCCGUCACACCAUGAGAGUUUGUAACACCCAAAGUCGGUGGGGUAACCUUUUAGGAACCAGCCGCCUAA